UUGACAGCUGCGGAGACUUAAAUCCUUUGUUUAUCCACAGAACAGACACUCCACAGGCAGCGGCACUGCAAGUUCCCCAUGUUACUCUGCCAGUGUGCCCACUUCUAAUCUAGAGGGACCAUCUCUAGGGGCCAGAAGAUAGCUUAUUCACCAUGGCCCUUCACCCUGACAGACCCA
rnacentral:sRNA from 1 species